rnacentral:precursor_RNA from 17 species
GGCUGGAGCCGUGCUGAGGCUGUGACUUGAUUCAAGUAAUCCAGGAUAGGCUGUUCAGUGAAACUCUGGCCUGUCCUUGACUACUUGGCUCUGGAGGCAGCCAUGCCCAUCGCCCUCGACC